UAACUUUGUGUUUUAUAAAAGUUGUGUGGCUCUGGCUAUAUCUGUUUGCCGUGGAGAGGAAGUCGUGUUGCUCUGGCUCUAUCUGUUUUGGCGUGGAGAGGAGGUCAUGUUGCUCUGGCUCUAUCUUUUUGGUGUGGAGAGGAGGUUGUGUUUCUCUGGCUCCAUC